CCGAGCCGGUGGCGUAACCCUUUUAGGGAGCGAGCCGUCUAAGGUGGGACAAAUGAUUAGGGUGAAGUCGUAACAAGGUAGCCGUAGGAGAACCUGCGGCUGGAUCACCUCCUUUCUAAGGAAACAGACUGAAAGUCUGACGGAAACCUGCACACACGAAACUUUGUUUAGUUUUGAGGGGAUCACCCUCAAGCACCCUAACGGGUGCGACUUUGUUCUUUGAAAACUGGAUAUCAUUGUAUUAAUUGUUUUAAAUUGCCGAGAACACAGCGUAUUUGUAUGAGUUUCUGAAAAAGAAAUUCGCAUCGCAUAACCGCUGACGCAAGUCAGUACAGGUUAAGUUACAAAGGGCGCACGGUGGAUGCCUUGGCACUAGGAGCCGAUGAAGGACGGAACUAAUACCNAUAUGCUUCGGGGGAGCUAUAAGUAAGCUUUUNUUCGGANAUUUCNNAAUGGGGGAACCCCAGUACACAGUCNGGGGGGGGGGGGGGGNGNGAGAAAUNCCCCACGUANCGG
rnacentral:misc_RNA from 1 species